ACGCUCGACACCUACGUGAGGCAGCAGUGGGGAAUAUUGCACAAUGGGCGAAAGCCUGAUGCAGCAACGCCGCGUGAGCGAAGAAGGCCUUGGGUCGUAAAGCUCUGUCCUCAAGGAAGAUAAUGACGGUACUUGAGGAGGAAGUCCCGGCUAACUACGUGCCACAGCCGCGGUAAGUACUGAGCGGGCGUGGUCGAACGGACG
rnacentral:rRNA from 1 species